rnacentral:rRNA from 1 species
AUUGAACGCUGGCGGCAUGCUUUACACAUGCAAGUCGAACGGUAACAGGCCUUCGGGCGCUGACGAGUGGCGGACGGGGGCGUAAUGCAUCGGAACGGGCCCAGUGGCGGGGGAUAACGCAGCGAAACCUGUGCCAAUACCUCAUGUGAGCUGAGGAUGAGAGCGGGGUACCACACAGCAAUGAUUGGCUCUGCGCCUCUGGUGCGGACGAUGUCGGAUUAGAUAGUUGGUGGGGUAAAGGCCUACCAAGCCGACGAUCCGUAGCUGGGCUGAGAGGACGACCGGCCACACUGGAACUGAGACACGGCCCAGACUCCUACGGGAGGCAGCAGUGGGGAAUUUUGGACAAUGGGCGCAAGCCUGAUCGAGCAAUGCCGCGUGAGGGAAGAAGGCCUUCGGGUUGUAAACCGCUUUUGUACGGGACGAAAAGGCUCUGGCUAAUACCUGCGGAUGAUGACGGUACCGUAAGAAUAAGCAUCGGCUAACUACGUG